AACAGUCAAAGAUUCUAUUCUAAUUUUUCAUGAAUAAAGAGAAUACAGAGAUACUCUUAAAUUUGGACAUCACUUCUCAUUGAACAUUGUUAUAAAACAAUGAGAUACGACUAGAUCUAAAAACCCUCCCUUUUGAAAUGAACAGAUAAGCAUACAGAAUUUGCAUUACUUCUUCUUGGUUAUUGGGACGAUCGGCACAGAUGGGUAACAAAUAUCCACUUUUCCCCGACUUAUGUGCGUUGCAUGAUUUCUAUAAGAAACUGUUCUUUAAGAAACUUGGAUGGCCGCUAAGAGCUAGAGGGGAGGUGGCUCAAAAUCUUAACGGCAACAUGCAAUUAAGAAUCACAAAAUCUGUUUUGGUACGACCCCUUAGCUUUUCCUCUAAUGAAAGUGUGAAGCUCCUGAAGGAAUCAAGCAUUCUCACAGAAAUUUUAAAUGUAUUAAUAUUAGAUGUUAGAGUAAAAUAAAGGUAGAAACCUGCAGGACACAAACACUUGCUAUAAGGGACAUCUGAAAUUAUUGGGAAUAUAUAUUUCACUUUUUUCAUAAAUAAUAAAACCCAACCUUGAGGUUAGGCUUAUGAUUUUACAGAUAACAAACAUUGGCAAUACAAAGGAUGUACUUCUGUCUAUUAAUUUUCAGUCCGAAAACAUAUUGAAACAUGCUCUUCGUAUAUGCCAUUAUAUCAUCAUUUCAGUAGUCGUAGCAAACUUUCAUCCUUUGUAAACGACAGUAGAGACAAUAGCAACUUGCAACGGCAAAAAAUUGAGAAAUGCUGCAGAUCUCGUUUUAAAGAUUUUUCAAUUGCUGAACGUGGUUCCUCCCAGCUCCAACCUGGCUACGUCCUUUUUAUGAUAGCAAAUUGCACCUAUUAGUAUUGAUAGUGUUAAGCUAACCAUUUUUUUCCAGUGUUGAUGCUACAGAGCCCUCUGGUCGUCUUGGAAGAUUGGUGAACGAUAGCAAGCUGGGAAACUGCAAGAUGCAGAAAGUUAUGGUUGGCCAAGUUCCCCAUCUUUGCUUGUUCGCCACAAGAACUAUUACGCAGGGGGAAGAACUUCGAUACGACUAUGGCUUGGAUGAUCUUCCUUGGCGAAAACAGGAAGGGGUUGCUAAAGGAAAACGAAAAAAGACCCUAAAAGCAGAUCAUGAAGAAAUUGGCCAAGCCAAGAGCCAAGAAAAGCAACGGGUAAAUUUGUCAAUUUUCUUUUAUUUACAGAAACAAAAUUUUAUCUACGAUUUGCAAGUUCUUAUCUUAUCUUCAUGAGUCAAUUAAGCUUUUACUGUGGUGUUUAUCAAACUAGGUUAUUUGGAGUUAAAUCCUUUAAACUGCCUUUUAUAUACAUUUACAAUAAAAAUUUACAUUUAAAUAAAUAUGUUUAUUGAAAAUGCCGUCUGAAAGUAGGGACUUUGAGCAAGGAACUCUUUUCCCUCGAAAGAAACCAGUGGUGGCGCCAGAGGGGGGGCAGGGGGGGCUACAGCCCCCCCGUCGGAGGAGGCUAGCCCCUCCGUCGGAAGAUAAAUUAUGCUUGAAUUUUUUUUGUCGGAGCGAAUUUUUUAAGUUUUGGCGGAAAUAGAAAUUUCUAAAAGGACUGUUAUCAGAAUUCAGGAAGCUCAUCCCAAAACAACUCAUCGACACAUCAAUUUCAUGGUAAAUAAUAAUCUGUUAUAAGAAGUUUGAAUUGGUUGUUUAGAUGUUCAGUACCAGGUGUUUUCCGCAUGCUGUUAAAUUUGAUCUUAUGUUAUGGAUAGUGCAGUUCGUCCAAAUCUUGCUUGCUAUAACCAACCUACAACAUCGGAAUAUUUUUGUGCGAUAGCGAUAUGGCAACAAAUGUUACCCGUUUCAGUGUUAGAUGUAGUAUAUGUAAUGACGUAUUUAACAAUGAUUACGCUGCCCGCCACACGAAGUCCAAGCACAAAGAUUUGGCUGCAAUGGGAAGGACUGCUCCUACGACGGCAAUAGUUGAAACGGACUCGCAGCAGAGAAAAAUAAAAACAUUUUUUCAAUCAAAAGGCGGUACUUUUCCAAAGAAACGAAAGGUUAAUGAUUUUGAAACUGAAAGAACAACAGAAGACCCCGAAGAACAAGAAGUUGAAAUUUCGAAAAUUCAAGACGAAGAGCAAAUCGAACGUGGUAUGUUAUACGUUUUAAUAUUUAAGUCCUUUUAAUACGAGGAAAAACACUUAGCAAAGGGCUUCAGCCAUAAAAACAAUCAAACUCAU